UACUUCGACACAGUGAAACCGCGAAUGGCUCAUUAAAUCAGUUAUUGUUCAUUUGGAGUGACGAAUCCUACUUGGAUAACUGUGGCAAUUCUAGAGCUAAUACAUGCGACAAAGCUCCGACUCCUCGGAAGGAGCGCUUUUAUUAGAUCAAAACCAACGUUCUUCGGAACUUCUGUUGGUGACUCUGGAUAACUCUGCCGAUCGCACGGUCUAGCACCGGCGACGUACCAUUCAAAUUUCUGCCUCAUCAACUUUCGAUGGUAAGGUAUCGGCUUACCAUGGUCGUAACGGGUAACGGGGAAUUAGGGUUCGAUUCCGGAGAGGGAGCCUGAGAAACGGCUACCACAUCUAAGGAAGGCAGCAGGCGCGCAAAUUACCCACUCCCAGCUUGGGGAGGUAGUGACGAAAAGUAACAAUGCUGGGCCUUUUAUGGGUCUAGUAAUUGGAAUGAGUGCACUUUAAAUCCUUACACGAGGAUCUAUUGGAGGGCAAGUCUGGUGCCAGCAGCCGCGGUAAUUCCAGCUCCAAUAGCGUAUAUUAAAGUUGUUGCAGUUAAAAAGCUCGUAGUUGGAUCUCGGCUAUGUGCUGCGGCGUCCCUCGCGGGUCCGCUGCAUUUCGCGUAGCGUUACCUCCGUCAGUUCCCUUGGUGCUCUUGAUUGAGUGCUUCGGGAGUGGUGGACAAUUUACUUUGAAGAAAUUAAAGUGUUUAAAGCAGGCACGUGGCCUGGAUAAUGGUGCAUGGAAUAAUAGAAAACGAUCUCGUUCCUAUUCUGUUGGUUUUCGGGAAGGAGAUAAUGAUUAAGAGGGACGGCCGGAGGCGUUCGUACUGUACCGCGAGAGGUGAAAUUCUUGGAUCGGCGCAAGACGAACUACAGCGAAAGCAUUCGCCGAGAAUGUUUUCAUUAAUCAAGAACGAAAGUUGAAGGUUCGAAGACGAUCAGAUACCGUCGUAGUUUCAACUAUAAACUAUGCCACCUAGUGAUCAGAGGCUGUUACUCCAAUGACUUCUCUGGCAACUUCCGGGAAACCAAAGUGUUUGGGUUCCGGGGGAAGUAUGGUUGCAAAGCUGAAACUUAAAGGAAUUGACGGAAGGGCACCACCAGGAGUGGAGCCUGCGGCUUAAUUUGACUCAACACGGGAAAACUCACCCGGCCCGGACACAGUGAGGAUUGACAGAUUGAUAGCUCUUUCUUGAUUCGGUGGGUGGUGGUGCAUGGCCGUUCUUAGUUGGUGGAGCGAUUUGUCUGGUUAAUUCCGAUAACGAACGAGACUCUGGCUUGCUAACUAGUUACUCGAUACUUUGCGAUCGAGUUCAACUUCUUAGAGGGAUCAGUGGCUUCUAGCCACACGAGAUUGAGCAAUAACAGGUCUGUGAUGCCCUUAGAUGUUCGGGGCCGCACGCGCGCUACACUGAGAGGGACAACUAGUCUUUUCCUUCACCGACAGGGUGCGGGUAAUCUGUUGAAACCCUCUCGUGCUAGGGAUAGGGGAUUGCAAUUUUUCCCCUUGAACGAGGAAUUCCUAGUAAACGUAAGUCAUCAGCUUGCGUUGAUUACGUCCCUGCCCUUUGUACACACCGCCCGUCGCUACUACCGAUUGAACGAUUUAGUGAGUUUUUCGGACUGGGUCCGCAGUGACCCUUACCGGGUUCCAGCGGCAUCCGGGAAGUUA
rnacentral:rRNA from 1 species